GACGAACGCUGGCGGCGUGCUUAACACAUGCAAGUCGAACGGAAAGACCCUGCUUUUGUGGGGUGCUCGAGCGGCGAACGGGUGAGUAACACGUGAGUAACCUGCCCUUGACUUUGGGAUAACUUCAGGAAACUGGGGCUAAUACCGGAUAGGAGCUCCCGCUGCAUGGUGGGGGUUGGAAAGUUUCGGCGGUUGGGGAUGGACGCGCGGGUUAUCAGCUUGUUGGUGGGGUAGUGGCUUACCAAGCAUUUGGCGGGUACCCGGCCUGGGAGGGUGGACGGGCACAUUGGGACUAAGGUACGGACCAGACGGCUACGGGAGGCAGCAGUGGGGAGUAUUGCACAAUGGGCGGAAGCCUGAUGCAGCAACGCCGCGUGCGGGAUGACGGCCUUCGGGUUGUAAACCGCUUUAGCCUGUGACGAAGCGUGAGUGACGGUAAUGGGUGAAGAAGCACCGGCUAACUACGUG
rnacentral:rRNA from 1 species